GCAACACUCUGUACCAAGCUGUUCAGCAACCUCCCCUGGUGCUCAUUCAAGCCUCACUAGGGAGACAGCUCUUGAAUUUAACCUUGGGCCUGGAUUCCAUCCUCCAGGAUCGAUUCAGAAGCAUCAUGAAAAGAGAAUCUAUGGACAUGAGAACUGGCAGACCCAGAGCUCUAUGCCUGCAGGAUCUCCGGCCUAUCCAUAUGCGAAGAACCUGGCAGAAAAGGGAAAAGGUAGCACCAUGGACAAGUCCAAAGUAGAUAUGGCAGAUGAUGAACUCCUUGCCCGCUUGAAGAAAUACAGGCUCCCAUACGGGCCCAUUGUUGCAUCAACCCGGAAACUUUAUGAAAAGAAAAUCUAUGAAUACGAGAAGAGGCAAGGACAACAGCAACCCAUAGCCAGAAGUUCAGCAGA